AGAGUUUGAUCCUGGCUCAGGACGAACGCUGGCGGCGUGCCUAAUACAUGCAAGUCGAACGAGAAACUUCGGUUUCUAGUGGCGAACGGGUGAGUAACACGUGGGCAACCUGCCCUCAAGCCUGGGAUAACUCCGGGAAACCGGGGCUAACACCAGAUAAUCUUCUUUUUCGCAUGAAAGAGAAGUAAAAGUUUACACUUGAGGAUGGGCCCGCGGUGCAUUAGCUAGUUGGUGGGGUAACGGCCUACCAAGGCGACGAUGCAUAGCCGACCUGAGAGGGUGACCGGCCACACUGGGACUGAGACACGGCCCAGACUCCUACGGGAGGCAGCAGUAGGGAAUUUUCCGCAAUGGGGGCAACCCUGACGGAGCAACGCCGCGUGAGUGAAGACGGCCUUCGGGUUGUAAAGCUCUGUUCUUGGGGAAGAAACAAAUGACGGUACCCAAGCAGAAAGCCCCGGCUAACUACGUGCCAGCAGCCGCGGUAAUACGUAGGGGGCAAGCGUUGUCCGGAUUUAUUGGGCGUAAAGCGCGCGCAGGUGGUGGGUUAAGUUGUGGGUAAAAGGCAUUGGCUCAACCAAUGUAAGCCUGCAAAACUGGCUCACUUGAGUGCAGGAGAGGGGAGUGGAAUUCCCGGUGUAGCGGUGGAAUGCGUAGAUAUCGGGAGGAACACCAGUGGCGAAGGCGACUCUCUGGCCUGUAACUGACACUGAGGCGCGAAAGCGUGGGGAGCGAACAGGAUUAGAUACCCUAGUAGUCC
rnacentral:rRNA from 1 species